GAUGAAGAACGUAGCGAAAUGCGAUAAGUAAUGCGAAUUGUAGAAUUUCCGUGAGUCAUCGAAUCUUUGAACGCACAUUGCGCCCACUGGUAUUCCGGUGGGCAUGCCUGUUCGAGCGUCAUUAUCCUCCCUCAAACCCCGGGUUUGGUGUUGGACCCAAGUUGUGUGAACAACUGGUCUUAAAGACAAUGACGGCGUCCGUGGGACCCUCGGUGCAACGAGCUUUUAGGAGUACGCAUCGAGUUGCAAGGACCUUCCGGGCCGGUCUCCUUUACUAUUUUACAAGGUUGACCUCGGAUCAGGUAGGAAUACCCGCUGAACUUAAGCAUAUCAAUAAGCGGAGGA
rnacentral:misc_RNA from 1 species